GGAUGUGAGGAGAAUCUGGCUGCAACAUCUGUCAUCCCAUUGAUCAACUCAAUCUCAGGGUUGAUUUGGUUGAUCUGGCUGGCUAGGAGUGUAUCCCCCUCCUCCCUCACUGCUCCAUAUGCAUCCUCCUAAAGCUGUGUGCUCAGUUGAAGAGGAUGACCACCCCCCCAGAGGAGGACCAUUUCCUCAGUGAAGGGUGUACAAUUAGCUAUGCUCCCCUAUUAGCAUGUCCAAACAAGCUACGGUAUAGAUGUUCACACAUAAAAGUAGGCUGUGCCACACUUGAAGUUAUAUUUUAUAUAAUAUAUAUGAUAUAUACUAUAUAUA
rnacentral:snRNA from 1 species